rnacentral:rRNA from 1 species
ACUCCUACGGGAGGCAGCAGUGGGGAAUAUUGCACAAUGGGCGCAAGCCUGAUGCAGCCAUGCCGCGUGUAUGAAGAAGGCCUUCGGGUUGUAAAGUACUUUCAGCAGUGAGGAAGGUGGUAGUGUUAAUAGCACUAUCAUUUGACGUUAGCUGCAGAAGAAGCACCGGCUAACUCCGUGCCAGCAGCCGCGGUAAUACGGAGGGUGCGAGCGUUAAUCGGAAUUACUGGGCGUAAAGCGCAUGCAGGUGGUUUGUUAAGUCAGAUGUGAAAGCCCGGGGCUCAACCUCGGAAUUGCAUUUGAAACUGGCAGACUAGAGUACUGUAGAGGGGGGUAGAAUUUCAGGUGUAGCGGUGAAAUGCGUAGAGAUCUGAAGGAUACCGGUGGCGAAGGCGGCCCCCUGGACAGAUACUGACACUCAGAUGCGAAAGCGUGGGGAGCAAACAGGAUUAGAUACCCUGGUAGGAUAGCG